AGCUUUGCGCAGUGGCGAUAUCGUAACCGAUGAGGUUCUACCGAGGUGCGAUUAUUGCUAGUUGAAACUUUUAGUAUUUCAAUAUGUGACAAAUCGUCGAAGGAACGAUUAUAAUUCAGGAAGAAUGUCAAAAGAA